rnacentral:misc_RNA from 1 species
UCCCUGUAAUUCACAUAUGCAGUUCUUGGAAACAUGGAAACAUAUGGUGUCAUGUAGUUGUAAAGCUUCCUAAUCCAAUCCAUAUGCUUCGCAGCACUCUUUUCUCCAUCUUGCCAGUUAGACAAGUACUGGAUCUUGAAUAAGUUGCCCUUUCUGUGAGGGAAAGGAAUUUCUGAUUCUGAAAUUUUGCUCAUCAUUCCACCAUAAGGAUUCCAUAUCAUCAAUGGACUUUCCUCUUCUAAUAACCUUUUCCAGAGUCCCUCCAGUCCUGUUUCAGGAAUGGGUUCUUUGACAAAAUCUGAUUUGGCCUUGAAGUAGUUCUU